GCCAUGUACCUGACUGCUUAUGUUGUCAUUUGAGACCGAAGAUCAGAAAACUCUCUCUUUCUUCCUACAUAUUCUUUUUCAGCCGUGCACUUGAUUCAACGGAGACGCUGAUUACACCCCUGAACGCAGGAUGAGAGUCUCGAGAAAGAAGCCUAGAAGGGGAAGGAGACCCAGAUAAGGCGGAGCCCUUUCAGGCCGUGGAUCCAGACGAGCCACAGUCACCUCAGCCUUGCUUCACUCCAUGAUGUUCAUUGGAAUUCGGACAAAUACCCCAGCUUUGUGGAGGCAGCUCAUGAGUCACAUGGACUAGAUGUCUUGGGAAUAUUUUUACAGGAAGAAGUAAAUGGGAUCCCUUGCAGUGGGCUCCAUGAGAAUCAACUUAUAUCUCAAGAUGUUUACAGAGUUUCUACCAGCUGCCAAGUCCUGUGUUGGAUCCUAGGAAAACAGCACAAUCUCAGACAAGACGUGACCUAAGCCUGAAAGUUUGGUGGGAAGGAGGCACCAGACAAGGUCUUAUAAAUGUCUUGAGUGUUACAAAAGAGAAAUGGCCAUGUGUUUUGUUAGCAUCUAACAAGGUGAGCUUUUGGAAAGAUCAAUGAUGUAAGGGUAAGGAGACUUGACUUUGACUCAUCUAUAUUGCUCUCUCCUCAGGUGACAAGAUAACAUAUCAAAUAAAGAAAUAAAAUGGAAGUACUUUUUCAAAAUUAAUAUGCUAAACAAAUCCAAUGAAAUAUGAUAUGUAAGGAGAUUAAUUUGUCUAAUAAUAAUAUCAAUGUCAAUAAAGAUA